CAGUGUUGUCAAUAGAGCACUGUGCUGCAAGACAGGAGUCCUGAGACCCCUUCCCUGCCUGGGUGUUAAGGAACUCUUCACCUUGGACAAAUCACUUCAAUUUUCUAGGUCAGGAAGAGACUUACAAACUGAAAUACGUUAAUUGUUAUUGUCAUCUGACUUCGAGGUUGAGGAAUCUGAGCACAGAGUUUUGCCAGGACUUCAGGAACCCUGAGGAUGCUCUUCGACUUGAGUCUGGAAUCACUGAUCCAUGAGUUCUGUUCCUUCCUAAGUCUCAGCAGCAGUCAGUUUGGAUCAUCCGUGGGCUUGCUGUGAAGCAGUGGGAUCUUGGUGGGAAGCCUUCCGUGGCACUGAAUCUUUGCUGUUAAUCUGCAUAUAUGGUGCCACGUACUCCUGCUAUGAUGUACCAUCAGAGACCCAAAGCAAUGGAUCCAAUCAAUCAUGGACUGAAACCUCUAAGGCUGAGAA
rnacentral:lncRNA from 1 species